AAUCAGAUGCUUCCGAGUUGAAUCCUUGGUGGAAAACAUGGCUGAACUCCGAUAAAAAAAAAGAUUAACAAUUUUGUAAACAUUGACAUUGGAAAUGAUAUCUUCAAAAGCAAGUGCAUGAGUAACAACAUAUGUGAGAAUUGCUAAAUGCCCCAAAAAUCGGUUUAAACAAAACUGUCAUGCAAGCUAUACAUCUAAAUAAACGGGGACUUAAUAUACUUAUACUAAUCUAGGGGAUAAAAUGAAGUUAAGGUAUCCUUUCAGUAUUGUUUCCAAGCAAAUCCCUUCAUAGCUUUACACCAGAAGUCUAAAAAAUUGCCACGACCAGAAGACUAAUAGUGAUAAUCUGAACCACCGAGGUAAGCUUACAUUCUAGAUCACUCAAUCCUGUUGAAGGCAAAUUAAGGAGUUAAUUACAUUUUAGAUUCAGAUACAAUAGACAGAUACGUAAGAUGCAUCACUAUUAUGUGGAUAAAUAAGUUCAAUGAAUACAUGUUAGAAUUGCAAGACGAUGAUGUUGUUCAUACCAAAUAGUAUCCCAUCGCUACUCAUGUGUGUAUGAGUUAUGGAUCAUAUAGGGAGAUACAAUAUCUUGGUAGUUCGUGCAAUGCAUAAAGGUAAGUUCAGGUAUGAAUCUUUCUUGGUGAUUGUAUCCCCAUCAAGUCAAGUUGGUCCUUCCUGCAGCUAGCUGCACCAAGCAUUGCUCUAUUACAGGUACACAUAUAGUAGAAGGAUUUAGAUUCUCUACUUUAUUGUCUAAAACCAACAAGGAAUAAUAAAAAUAAUAUUUGACCAAAGCUGUUGCAACUUCUCUAGCAAAUUUCGAUGAAGAUUAUCUAUUGUUAUUGUCUAAAACCAAGAAGGAAUAAUGAAAAUAAUAUUUGAUCAAGGCUGUUGCAACUCCUCUAGCAAAUUUCUGCUAAGCUCUGCUAAGCAUAACAUGCAAUCUUACUAUAUGUAUUAUCACAGCCAACCACUAAUGCACAUCUUCAGCCAAAUAACUACAGAGGAGUAGAGUGGAAUCAUACAGUACCUAUGACCAGGACAACAAUCUUUUUUGCUGGAACUAUUUUUUAUGGGACCAGCCAAAACUUUUGCUGCGACCUGGCAGGAGCGAGCCAUUGUUUUUGCUGGAAAUGACGAGUUUUUUGGCCGUAAACAUUUUGUUGGAACAAAAUAUAAAUAGCAUUAACUAACAGCAAGGCUAUUGGAUCUUGACACCGAAAUAGUCAAUUAAAUAAGUAGAAGUUGUGAGGAACUACUGCUAUUUAAAAACAGAGGCAUAUUCUGUUGAUCAAAUCAGUAGGGUUUUUUUAACUGAAAAGGCCUUUCCGUUAAGCAAAAAACCUUAGAUAAAUCAUUAUUCAUGCACCUUGCCAAUUAGCACAAAUAGAGAUGCAAAUUAUCCCAGAGAGUUAGAAGACCCAAAAAAAUUAACCCGCACAUGGUGCACUCACACAUAAGAGAAGACCCAAGCAGAGCGAUCAAGCCAUGCAAUUCAAGUUAUUAAAAUACUAAUUAGUUAUUGUAUCUCGACGGAUAGUCUUAUCUAAAAACAAUUAAACGAUAUGGAGUAGUUUGCAAGGAGUAUAUACAUACUAUUUUUUCAAAUGGGAUAUAUACAACUAUUCUCAGAGUAUAUGCCUAUGAUACUGGCAAUAACGAUCAGUGUAUACUCAUUGUCACAAAGGAGUGUAUGGUGUGUUUUCUUUUCAAAUGAUAGUAUACUAUUUUUCGCAAAGGGGUAUAGAAGAGAGGGCCUUUCUGUAUGGUGUGUUUCAGUAUCGAUCAACAGUAUAUGUUUCUUUCUGUCUUGUCGUACAUAUACUUCACUGCUGAGGAGAAAGUAUACACCAAAAAAAUUAAGUACUGAACCAAGGGAAACCUGUGAGGAGAAGCAUGCAUGCAUCCGGUGAGAAAAAGUAAAAGUGAUAAAAAGUAGUAUAUACUUGAACAAAAGUAGUAUAUACUAUAUUAUCUGAAAAAGUAAGAAGAAUGAAUUUCAAAUACUCGUGGCAAUUUAAAUGAUAGACAAAAGUAGUCUUUGAUGACAGAUGCAAAUUGAUGACACUGCAGUAUGUACCUCAGGUCAGACAAAGUUCCGGCGAACAGUCGAGUACGAGAAGUGUACAGCCACGCGAGGUCGGAAACGUGAGGCGCAACGAUAAGCCAAAAAACUUCAUAUUAUCCAACCUUGCAUUAGAAUCCAAAAGGGUUCAGUGAUGUGUGCCUCUCUCUCUGCUCUCUCUGUUCCUCUCAUAUUUCUCCUUUUUUCUCACCAAAAUACAACGCAAGAGAACAUAUGAUAUACGUCCAUCCGUCGUGAAAAUGACAAUGCUCUAUUUAUAAUUGACACAUUGUUAUGAGUCCAAACUAAAUAAGGUCUCGUCAAUUCUGGGAUUAAGAAAUUGGAAGCACCUUAUAUAUUUGUUCUAUAUUGCAAAAACAACACUGCUUCAUUUGACAGGACUACAACACUCAGCCGUAGAGAGAAAAGGUUGCCAAACCUGAGGAUUAAACCGCAGCCUCCAUGGAUGAAAGUGGAAUUGGACAGUCAGCUUAAGUGCUGGGGUAGCCGGGUGGUACUGUCCCUAGAUCGUUCCCUUAGCUCAAACAUACUGGCUUUUGCGUCGUCGAUGUCGUGUUGUAACUCAGCACUUGCAC
rnacentral:lncRNA from 1 species